GACCAGGGAUAGCUCAGUUGGUAGAGCAUGAGACUCUCAAAUCUCAAGGUCGUGGGUUCAAGCCCCACAUUGGUCA